AUUGAACGCUGGCGGCAGGCCUAACACAUGCAAGUCGAGCGGAUGAAGGGAGCUUGCUCCUGGAUUCAGCGGCGGACGGGUGAGUAAUGCCUAGGAAUCUGCCUGGUAGUGGGGGAUAACGUCCGGAAACGGGCGCUAAUACCGCAUACGUCCUGAGGGAGAAAGUGGGGGAUCUUCGGACCUCACGCUAUCUGAUGAGCCUAGGUCGGAUUAGCUAGUUGGUGGGGUAAAGGCCUACCAAGGCGACGAUCCGUAACUGGUCUGAGAGGAUGAUCAGUCACACUGGAACUGAGACACGGUCCAGACUCCUACGGGCGGCAGCAGUGGGGAAUAUUGGACAAUGGGCGAAAGCCUGAUCCAGCCAUGCCGCGUGUGUGAAGAAGGUCUUCGGAUUGUAAAGCACUUUAAGUUGGGAGGAAGGGCAGUAAGUUAAUACCUUGCUGUUUUGACGUUACCAACAGAAUAAGCACCGGCUAACUUCGUG
rnacentral:rRNA from 1 species